rnacentral:rRNA from 1 species
AGAGUUUGAUCAUGGCUCAGGAUGAACGCUAGCUACAGGCUUAACACAUGCAAGUCGAGGGGAAACGACAUCGAAAGCUUGCUUUUGAUGGGCGUCGACCGGCGCACGGGUGAGUAACGCGUAUCCAACCUGCCCAUCACUUGGGGAUAACCUUGCGAAAGUAAGACUAAUACCCAAUGAUAUCUCUAGAAGACAUCUGAAAGAGAUUAAAGAUUUAUCGGUGAUGGAUGGGGAUGCGUCUGAUUAGCUUGUUGGCGGGGUAACGGCCACCAAGGCUACGAUCAGGUAGGGGUUCUGGAGAGGAACGGUCCCCCANAUUGGAACUGAGACACGGUCCAAACGUCCUACGGGAGGCA